rnacentral:rRNA from 1 species
AGUAGUUUGAUCCGUGGCUCAGGACACGCUGGCGGCGUGCUUAAUACAUGCAAGUCGAACGGAGAUAUUCCGCCGACCGAAGUUUCGGCAGAGGUCAUGGGAUAUUUUAGUGGCGAACGGGUGAGUAACGCGUGAACAACCUGACUCAAAGAGGGGGAUAACAACGGGAAACUGUUGCUAAUACCGCAUAAGACCACGACCUCGCAUGGGGAUGGGGUCAAAGAUUUAUCGCUUUGAGAGGGGUUCGCGUCCCAUUAGGUAGUUGGAGGGGUAACGGCCCACCAAGCCGACGAUGGGUAGCCGAGCUGAGAGGCUGAUCGGCCACACUGGAACUGAGACACGGUCCAGACUCC